UGAAGCAUAAUACAAGGGUUAGUAUGCUGUGCUGAUAACGCAGAAAUGAUGGUUCAACUCCAUCUGCUUCAACCA
rnacentral:tRNA from 1 species